AAAAGAAAAAAGAGAAACAAUUUAAAAAAAGAAUAGGAUCUUUAAAAUUUCUUUUUAUGUUAAUAUUUGCUUUUACUAGAAAGUAAAGAAUCACGCUUAAAUAAGCAGUCAGUGGAUGUCGCUGAGGAGCAGUAUAGAGAGGCAAGCCGAAUGAAUGUGUACAAACGCUCUACCGUACAACGAGCUAUGGCCGUGACAAACCUCAAAAGAUAAUUUAGGAUUUUUAUUCAGGUGAGAAAUGUAAAAACUGUCCAGAUUUCUUUGCAAUGUUCGCAACUGUCAUCGAAAGCAACCUGAAGAUUGAAAUAUUUCAAUAUCUUCGGACCAGUUUGAAGAAUGCCGCAUUGGAUGCAAUGUCACUAACCAUACAUUAAGGUUUUGUGUUGGAAGGCGUAGAAACAAACAAGCUUGCGUUAAUUCAAUGACAAACUUAAGGCUUCCAUGCUAGCACGACAAUCUAUGUGCGGACAUUUCCGAUGGUUAUUUUCUUCGUUUAAUGGACAAUCCGAUUGAAAUGAGAAGAUUAUUUCACUAUUGACAAGUUUACACUAAGGUUUAAGUCGCAAAUAAGAAGUUCUUUCUUAUGAAAGAAAAACUUUUUAUAUAAGCUCCA